rfam:Thermoanaerobacter tengcongensis MB4, complete genome.
ACAUGCUAAACGCUGAAUUCGUUAAGAAGCGGGGGACCCACUCUUUUGGGGUGAAUCCAUCUUUUAAAAGAUGGUAGGGUUAUCUUUCGACCCGAACCCGUCAGCUAACCCCGUAAGCGUUGAAAGAGAAGGAUA